ACGAACGCUGGCGGCGUGCUUAACACAUGCAAGUCGAACGGAAAGGCCCUGCUUGCAGGGUACUCGAGUGGCGAACGGGUGAGUAACACGUGGGUGAUCUGCCCUGCACUUCGGGAUAAGCCUGGGAAACUGGGUCUAAUACCGGAUAGGAGCCAUUUUUAGUGUGAUGGUUGGAAAGUUUUUUCGGUGUAGGAUGAGCUCGCGGCCUAUCAGCUUGUUGGUGGGGUAAUGGCCUACCAAGGCGGCGACGGGUAGCCGGCCUGAGAGGGUGGACGGCCACAUUGGGACUGAGAUACGGCCCAGACUCCUACGGGAGGCAACAGUGGGGAAUAUUGCACAAUGGGCGCAAGCCUGAUGCAGCGACGCCGCGUGGGGGAUGACGGCCUUCGGGUUGUAAACUCCUUUCGCUAGGGACGAAGCUUUUGUGACGGUACCUAGAUAAGAAGCACCGGCUAACUACGU
rnacentral:rRNA from 1 species